rnacentral:rRNA from 1 species
AUUGUUCACAAUGGGCGCAAGCCUGAUGACGCAACGCCGCGUGGAGGAUGAAGGUCUUCGGAUUGUAAACUCCUGUUGCUCGGGACGAAAAGCCUCGACCUAAUACGUCGAGGUCUGACGGUACCGAGUGAGGAAGCCCCGGCUAACUCCGUGCCAGCAGCCGCGGUAAUACGGGGGGGGCAAGCGUUGUUCGGAAUUACUGGGCGUAAAGGGCUCGUAGGCGGCCAACUAAGUCACACGUGAAAUCCCUCGGCUCAACCGGGGAACUGCGUGUGAGACUGGAUGGCUUGAGUUUGGGAGAGGAAUGCGGAAUUCCAGGUGUAGCGGUGAAAUGCGUAGAUAUCUGGAGGAACACCGGUGGCGAAGGCGGCAUCCUGGACCGGCAUUGACGCUGAGGAGCGAAAGCUAGGGGAGCAAAC